rnacentral:rRNA from 1 species
CAGCAGCCACGGUAAUACGAAGGGUGCAAGCGCUACUCGGAAUUACUGGGCGUAAAGCGUGUGUAGGUGGUUGUUUAAGUCUGUCGUGAAAGCCCUGGGCUCAACCUGGGAAUUGCGAUGGAUACUGGGCGACUAGAGUGCGGUAGAGGAUAGUGGAAUUUCCGGUGUAGCAGUGAAAUGCGUAGAGAUCGGAAGGAACAUCUGUGGCGAAGGCGACUAUCUGGGCCAACACUGACACUGAGACACGAAAGCGUGGGGAGCAAACAGGAUUAGAUACCCCAGUAGUCCAUGUCUCUUAUAC